UGUUAUGAUCUGCUUCUCAUC
rnacentral:miRNA from 1 species